rnacentral:rRNA from 1 species
UCUUGUAGCAAUACCGGACGUGACUGACCGGCGUAAGGGGCAGUAAUGCGUGGGUAACGUACCCCCGGGUUCCGGAUAGCCAGUCGAAAGGCUGGGUAAUACGGAGCGACGUUGCGAGAGGACAUCCUCAUGCAACCAAAGAUUUAUCGUCCGGGGAGCGGCUCACGUCGUAUUAGCUUGUUGGCGGGGUGACGGCCCACCAAGGCUUAGAUGCGUAGCGGGUAUGAGAGUACGACCCGCGCCACUGGCACUGAGACACUGGCCAGACACUUACGGGUGGCUGCAGUCGAGGAUCUUCGGCAAUGAGCGCAAGCUUGACCGAGCGACGCCGCGUGUGGGAUGAAGGCCUUCGGGUUGUAAACCACUGUCGUGGGGGAGAAAAGCCCCGCAAGGGGUCUGAUCUAUCCCAGGAGGAAGCACGGGCUAAGUUCGUGCCAGCAGCCGCGGUAAGACGAACCGUGCAAACGUUACUCGGAUUCACUGGGCUUAAAGGGCGCGUAGGCUGUUCGUUAAGUCGUGGGUGAAAUCUUUCGGCUCAACCGGAAAAUUGCCCCCGAUACUGGCGAGCUCGAGGGAGGUAGGGGCAGCGGGAACUGCCAGUGGAGCGGUGAAAUGCGUUGAUAUUGGCAGGAACGCCGGUGGCGAAAGCGCGCUGCUGGAUCUCUCCUGACGCUGAGUGCGCGAAAGCUAGGGGAGCAAACGGGAUUAGAUACCCCGGUAGUCCUAGCCCUAAACGAUGAGUACUAGGUUGCGGGCGUGACAUGCGCUCGCAGCCGAAGCAAAAGUGCUAAGUACU